rnacentral:rRNA from 1 species
AGUACGAACGCAAGUUUAAAACUCAAAGGAAUUGACGGGGACCCGCACAACCAGUGGAGCAUGUGGUUUAAUUCGAGACGAACCGAAGAACCUUACCUGGACUUGACAUGCUACUUAUUAGUUUUGCAGAGAUGUGAGACGAUCCUGCAUUUGUAGGAAGGUAGCACAGGUGUUGCAUGGCUGUCGUCAGCUCGUGCCGUGGGGUGUUCCCUUCAGUGGGGUAACGAGCGCAACCCUUGCCGUAUGUUAAAUAUUCAUACGGGACAAUCGAGUAUUUCUCGGAGGAAGUGGGGACGACGUCAAGUCAGCAUGGCCCUUAUGUCCAGGGCAACACACAUGCUACAAUGGAGCCGACAAUGGGUUGCCAAGCAGUAAUGCGGAGCUAAUCCCAUCAAACGGCUUCUCAGUAGGGAUUGAGGGCUGCAACUCGCCCUCAUGAACGUGGAAUUGGUAGUAAUCGCGAAUCAGCUAUGUCGCGGUGAAUACGUUCUCGGGUCUUGUACACACCGCCCGUCAAGUCAGCAAAGUUGGAGGCACCCGAACCUCGUAUAUUACGAGGGAAGGUGAAAUCAGCGAUGAGGAUUAAGUCGUAACAAGGUA